UGGGCAACCUGCCCCAGACUCAGGGAUAACCCCGGGAAACCGGAGCUAAUACCCGAUACUCCGAUCGAACCACAUGGCUCGAUCGGGAAAGCUCCGACGGUCUGGGAUGGGCCCGCGGCCUAUCAGCUUGUUGGUGGGGUAACGGCCUACCAAGGCGACGACGGGUAGCUGGUCUGAGAGGACGACCAGCCACACUGGAACUGAGAUACGGUCCAGACUCCUACGGGAG
rnacentral:rRNA from 1 species